UCCCCCACCUUCCUAAGUCAUAACUACUACCAUCACUCGACAUUAUUAACUAUCACCACCAAACACCACCAUCCUCAAUCAUAAUCACCACUACUGCCAAUAACUACUAGCUACUAGCAUGAACCACCAUCAUCAACCAAAACUACCACCAGCCACCGCCUCUAGUCGGCAUUCACCCGUUAGUCAUCACCACCACCAACUAUCAUAUUUUAUUGAUAGAAUAUUAGGUUAGUUCGCAUUUCAUUUGAAUUUUAUGUUUAAUAAUUUUCAAAUAAAGAUAAAUUU
rnacentral:lncRNA from 1 species